GCCUGCUAGCUCAGUUGGUAGAGCAGGAGAUUCUUAUUCUCAGGGUCAUGGGUUUAAGCCCCAUAUUGGGCA
rnacentral:tRNA from 1 species